AUGCAAGUCGAGCGGUAACAGAUCCAGCUUGCUGGAUGCUGACGAGCGGCGGACGGGUGAGUAAUGCAUAGGAAUCUGCCCGGUAGUGGGGGAUAACCUGGGGAAACCCAGGCUAAUACCGCAUACGUCCUACGGGAGAAAGGGGGCUUCGGCUCCCGCUAUCGGAUGAGCCUAUGUCGGAUUAGCUAGUUGGUGAGGUAACGGCUCACCAAGGCCACGAUCCGUAGCUGGUCUGAGAGGAUGAUCAGCCACAUCGGGACUGAGACACGGCCCGAACUCCUACGGGAGGCAGCAGUGGGGAAUAUUGGACAAUGGGGGGAACCCUGAUCCAGCCAUGCCGCGUGUGUGAAGAAGGCCCUCGGGUUGUAAAGCACUUUCAGCGAGGAAGAACGCCUAGCGGUUAAUACCCGCUAGGAAAGACAUCACUCGCAGAAGAAGCACCGGCUAACUCCGUGCCAGCAGCCGCGGUAAUACGGAGGGUGCAAGCGUUAAUCGGAAUUACUGGGCGUAAAGCGCGCGUAGGUGGCUUGAUAAGCCGGUUGUGAAAGCCCCGGGCUCAACCUGGGAACGGCAUCCGGAACUGUCAAGCUAGAGUGCAGGAGAGGAAGGUAGAAUUCCCGGUGUAGCGGUGAAAUGCGUAGAGAUCGGGAGGAAUACCAGUGGCGAAGGCGGCCUUCUGGACUGACACUGACACUGAGGUGCGAAAGCGUGGGUAGCAAACAGGAUUAGAUACCCUGGUAGUCCACGCCGUAAACGAUGUCGACCAGCCGUUGGGUGCCUAGCGCACUUUGUGGCGAAGUUAACGCGAUAAGUCGACCGCCUGGGGAGUACAGCCGCAACGUUAAACUCAAUGAAUUGAUGGGGGCCCGCACAAGCGGUGGAGCAUGUGGUUUAAUUCGAUGCAACGCGAAGAA
rnacentral:rRNA from 1 species